GGUCUGUGAUGAAUAGUAAAAGGUCUGAUGAUCCUAAGGCUUGUUCUUCCAUGACCUUGUUUCCCAGCAGUUUCUCACCAGUCAUGACACAGUCAUGCUGUGGCUGGCAGAGUGUUUGCUGACAGCCUGUGGUGUGCUCAGCUCAUGUUGACCUCAAGCACUGGAGACAUGACUGGCAUUAGCAUCCAACAGUCUUUACCUGAAGGAAUCUGGGGUCUUGGAUUAUCAUAGCUGGACAUGUGAUCUGACUUUUCUGCUGAGACC